rnacentral:rRNA from 1 species
GAUGAACGCUGGCGGCGUGCCUAAUACAUGCAAGUCGAGCGAACGGACGAGAAGCUUGCUUUUCUGAUGUUAGCGGCGGACGGGUGGGUAACACGUGGAUAACCUACCUAUAAGACUGGGAUAACUUCGGGAAACCGGAGCUAAUACCGGAUAAUAUUUUGAACCGCAUGGUUCAUAAGUGAAAGACGGUCUUGCUGUCACUUAUAGAUGGAUCCGCGCUGCAUUAGCUAGUUGGUAAGGUAACGGCUUACCAAGGCAACGAUGCAUAGCCGACCUGAGAGGGUGAUUGGCCACACUGGAACUGAGACACGGUCCAGACUCCUACGGGAGGCAGCAGUAGGGAAUCUUCCGCAAUGGGCGAAAGCCUGACGGAGCAACGCCGCGUGAGUGAUGAAGGUCUUCGGAUCGUAAAACUCUGUUAUUAGGGAAGAACAUAUGUGUAAGUAACUGUGCACAUCUUGACGGUACCUAAUCAGAAAGCCACGGCUAACUACGUG